GCCCCGAUAGUUUAACGGAUAAAACACAGCCCUCCGGAGGCUGAGAUCGAGGUUCGAUUCCUCGCCGGGGCACUA
rnacentral:tRNA from 1 species